CCUACGGGUGGCAGCAGUGGGGAAUAUUGGGCAAUGGACGCAAGUCUGACCCAGCAACGCCGCGUGAAGGAAGAAGGCUUUCGGGUUGUAAACUUCUUUUAACAGGGAAGAGCAGAAGACGGUACCCCUUGAAUAAGCCACGGCUAACUACGUGCCAGCAGCCGCGGUAAUACGGAGGAUUCGAGCGUUAUCCGGAUUUAUUGGGUGUAAAGGGCGCGUAGGCUGGUGGAUAAGUUAGAGGUGAAAUGCCGGGGCUUAACCCCGGGACUGCCUGUGAUACUGUUGGACUAGAGUGCGGAUGAGGCAGGCGGAAUUACUAGUGUAGCGGUGAAAUGCGUAGAUAUUAGUAGGAACACCAGUUGCGAAGGCGGCUUGCUGGACGGCAACUGACGCUGAGGCACGAAAGCGUGGGUAGCGAACAGGAUUAGAUACCCUAGUAGUC
rnacentral:rRNA from 1 species